rnacentral:lncRNA from 1 species
ACCCGCUAUAAUUAACAUAUAUAAAUUUGUUAAAUUUAAUGUCACAAAUCAAUGAGUGCCAUAGUGGUCAAUCUCUUAACAAUUAUAAGAAGUUGUCCAGGUUCGAAUCCCCUCAUACGCAUUCCAUCAAUUUUUGGUAAAAAUUGUAGGAGCAAAAAAAUCAUACAAAAUUCGUUGUAAAGGAAUCGAACCCGGGACUUGCAAGAAGAAAAUGCCGCCCCUACCCAAGUUGGCUGAGAGGAGUUUUUGAAUUAAAAGUUAAUAUCAGUAAUAUAACCUAAAAAAUGUAUAUGUUCUCCAAAAAAAAAGAGUUGCCGGCGGAUUCAGCACGUGCGGCCGCGAGUGCUGGAUCCGCCAGUGCUUCCAAACCAAAAGAAACCUGGGACAUUGUUACAAAUUUGAUGAGAAAUAUGCCAUAGCCCAUAGGGCAUAGGUCCCAGAAUUUUAUGUUGAUAGAUGAAGAUGAGGAGAGUGGGCCAAAGGAGGACAAAGAGUUCGAAUCAGAAGGUGAACAAGAGGGUGAUGAGAUAAUGAAGAUCUCUAUUAGUGCCUUGACUGGAAGUUUAAAGCAUAAGACAAUAAGAGUCCUUGGAAUAAUCAAGGGAAGGAAGAUCUCUAUCUUGAUAGACAAGGGGAGUACUCACAGCUUUAUAGAUGAGAGGCUAGUUAGAAAACUGGAUUAUGCUACUAAAGAAACCAGAACCAUGACAGUUAAAGUGGCCAAUGGUGACAAACUGGAGAGUAAAGCCAUGCCAACUAAUGAUACGGAGGUCACAUGAUUGGAAAUUCCGGUACAAUCUAAUGACUCUUCAACUUGGGGGCAUUGACAUAGGAUUAGGAUAUGUCAGGUUCAAGUACAGCCACGAGGAAGUAGAGUUGAUGAAUGAGCACCACAACAUUUGUAACACUCCAAAUUUGGGUUAGAUUUGGAAGUAUUGUCAUUUAUUUUCUCUAAAAAUCAUAAAUACGAAAAAACAAUUAGAUUUUUCUUUAACAUAAUAAAAUAAUUAAUGACUUUCACUUACAUAAGACAAUUAAAU